rnacentral:rRNA from 1 species
AGUGAACGCUGGCGGUAGGCCUAACACAUGCAAGUCGAACGGCAGCACAGUAAGAGCUUGCUCUUACGGGUGGCGAGUGGCGGACGGGUGAGGAAUACAUCGGAAUCUACUUUUUCGUGGGGGUUAACGUAGGGAAACUUACGCUAAUACCGCAUACGACCUACGGGUGAAAGCAGGGGAUCUUCUGACCUUGCGCGAUUGAAUGAGCCGAUUUCGGAUUAGCUAGUUGGCGGGGUAAAGGCCCACCAAGGCGACGAUCCGUAGCUGGUCUGAGAGGAUGAUCAGCCACACUGGAACUGAGACACGGUCCAGACUCCUACGGGAGGCAGCAGUGGGGAAUAUUGGACAAUGGGCGCAAGCCUGAUCCAGCCAUACCGCGUGGGUGAAGAAGGCCUUCGGGUUGUAAAGCCCUUUUGUUGGGAAAGAAAAGCAGCAGGUUAAUACCCCGCUGUUCUGACGGUACCCAAAGAAUAAGCACCGGCUAACUUCGUG